UACAACAUAGCAUUAAUGCAUCGAAUCCCAUUAGAAAUAUGCAAUUAUGCACGCUCAUGCUAGAGUAGUACUAGGAUGGGUGACCGCCUAGGAAGUCCUAGUGUUUUAC
rnacentral:rRNA from 1 species